rnacentral:rRNA from 1 species
UGCCCUUGGGNAGAGNNCCCCCGGGUANCUGGGGCUAAUCCCUGAUAGGUGAAGAACUCUGGAAUGAGUCUUCACCCAAAAGACGCCUAGGCCACGCUUCUAGGCGCCGCCCAAGGAUGGGGCCGCGACCGAUCAGGUUGUUGGUGAGGUAACGGCCUACCAAGCCUUUUACCGGUACGGGCCGUGAGAGCGGGAGCCCGGAGAUGGGCACUGAGACAAGGGCCCAGGUCCUACGGGGCGCAGCAGUCGCGCAAACUUUGCAAUACACGAAAGUGUGACAGGGCUAUCCCGAGUGCCGUCCGCUGAGGGUGGCUUUUACCCAGUCUAGCAAGCUGGGAGAAUAAGGAGAGGGCAAGUCUGGUGUCAGCCGCCGCGGUAAUACCAGCUCUCCGAGUGGUGUGGAUGUUUAUUGGGCCUAAAGCAUCCGUAGCUUGCUGAUCAAGUCCCCUGUUAAACCCAACGAAUCAAUCGUUGGAUUGCGGGGGAUACUGCUCGGCUAGGGGACGAGAGAGGCCGACGGUAUUUUCGGGGUAGGGGUGAAAUCCUAUAAUCCCGAGAGGACCACCAGUGGCGAAGGCUGUCGGCUAGAACGCGCCCAACGGUGANGGAUGAAAGCUGGGGGGAGCGAACCGGAAUUAAGUACCCGGGGUAGUCCCAGCUGUAAACGAUGCAGGCUAGGUGUUUGGGCGGCCACGCNCCGCUCUAU